rnacentral:rRNA from 1 species
CCCUUAGAUGUUCUGGGCUGCACGCGCGCUACACUGAAGCUAUCAACACGUUUUCCCUCCCUGAGAAGGGCGGGUAACCUUUUGAAUCAGCUUCGUGGUAGGGUUCGGGGCUUGCAAUUGUUCCCCGUGAACCAGGAAUUCCUAGUAGACGCGAGUCAUAAGCUCGCAUCGAUUAAGUCCCUGCCCUUUGUACACACCGCCCGUCGCUACUACCGAUUGAACGUUUUAGUGAGGCAUUUGGACCGACGCAUCUCAGUUUAACCGCUGGUUUGUGUUGGAAAGACUUCCAAACUUGAGCGUUUAGAGGAAGUAAAAGUCGUAACA